GCGGACGUAGCUCAGGGGUAGAGCUUCUGCCUUCCAAGCAGAAUGUCGUGGGUUCGAAUCCCAUCGUCCGCUCCA
rnacentral:tRNA from 2 species